rnacentral:rRNA from 1 species
GACGAACGCUGGCGGCGUGCUUAACACAUGCAAGUCGAACGGAAAGGCCCUGCUUUUGUGGGGUGCUCGAGUGGCGAACGGGUGAGUAACACGUGAGUAACCUGCCCUUGACUUUGGGAUAACUUCAGGAAACUGGGGCUAAUACCGGAUAGGAGCUCCUGCUGCAUGGUGGGGGUUGGAAAGUUUCGGCGGUUGGGGAUGGACUCGCGGCUUAUCAGCUUGUUGGUGGGGUAGUGGCUUACCAAGGGUUUGACGGGUAGCCGGCCUGGGAGGGUGACCGGCCACAUUGGGACUGAGGUACGGCCCAGACUCGUACGGGAGGCAGCAGUGGGGAAUAUUGCACAAUGGGCGGAAGCCUGAUGCAGCAACGCCGCGUGCGGGAUGACGGCCUUCGGGUUGUAAACCGCUUUCGCCUGUGACGAAGCGUGAGUGACGGUAAUGGGUAAAGAAGCACCGGCUAACUACGUG